CCUUCUUCAAUAUCAUACAUCACCUUUUCAUGCCUUUAAGGUGGACCAUAGUACUCUAUAGUGGUUAUUUAUUAGGUAAUUGUCUACUUGUGAGGAUUGGCUUGUAAUUGUAUGACGACGUAGAAUUUGUAAUUCUUUGAGUACUAUGUCUCCGUCAACACAUACAAGCAGUUAUAUUGCGUCCAUCAGUCUUCACAGCAGAAAUCUGGUUGUCAUAUCAGCUGUUAAGGUAGAUAUGGAUGGUUCAAGAUAUCCCUCUAAUUCUUCCCUACUUCAUAUUGAGCUUAGAUAUCUCUUUUGUAUACUUCUGUACAUGAAGGCAGUUUAGUAUACAUACGUUCAAUAUGAAGUAGGAAAAAAAUAUGAAGUACCAGUCUCCCUUCUUCAAUAUCAUACAUCACCUUUUCAUGCCUCGCAAGGUGGACCAUAGUACUCUUCAGUGGUUCCUUGGUAAUUGUCUACUUGUGAGGAUUUAGAGUGGCUUGUAAUUGUAUGACGACCAAGAAUUUGUAAUUCUUUGAGUGCUAUCCAUGCCUUCGUCAACACAUACAAGCAGUCAUAUUGCGUCCAUCAGUCUUCACAAAGUAAUCCGGUUGUCAUAUUAGCUGUUAGGGUAGAUAUGUAUGGUUCAAGAUUUCUCUAUUACUCUUCCCUAGUACAUAUUUGAGCUUAGAUACUCUCUUGUAUACUUUUGUACACGAAGACGAAGGCAGUUUGGUAUUCCUACGUUUAAUAUGAAGUAGGAAAGAAUAUGAAGAACCAAUCCCCCUUUUUCAAUAUCAUACAUCACCUUUUCAUGCCUUCAAGGUGGACCAGAGUACUCUUCAGUGGUUCCUUAUAGGUAAUUGUCUACUCGUGAGGAUUUAGAGUGGCUUGUAAUUGUUUGACGACCAAGAAUUUGUAAUUCUUUGAGUACUUUGCCUCUGUCAACACAUACAAGCAGUCAUAUUGCGUCCAUCAGUCUUUACAAUAGAAAUCUGGUUGUCAUAUCAGCUGUUAGGGUGGAUACGAAUGGUUCACGAUCUCUCUCGUAUUCUUCCCCACUUCAUAUUUGAGCUUAGAUAUAUCUCUUGUAUACUUUUGUACAUGAAGGCAGUUUAGUAUACCUAUGUUCAAAUUGAAGUGGGCAAGAAUAUGAAGUACCAGUCUCCCUCUUCAAUAUCGGACAUUGCCUUUUCAUGCCUUCAAGGUGGACCAUAGUACUCUUCAGUGGUUACUUAUAGGUAAUUGUCUACUUGUGAGGAUUUAGAGUGGCUUGUAAUUGUCUGACAACCAAGAAUUUGUAAUUCUUUGAGUACUAUGCUUUCGUCAACACAUACUAGCAGUCAUAUUGCGUUCAUCAGUCUUCACAAUAGAAAUUCAGUUGUCAUUUCAGCUGUUAGGGUAGAUAUGGAUGGUUCAAGAUAUCUCUCUUAUUCUUCCCUACUUCAUAUUUGUGCUUAGAUAUUUCUCUUUUGUACUUUUGUACACGAAGACGAAGGCAGUUUAGUAUUUCUAUGUUCCAUAUGAAGUAGGAACUAGGAAAGAAUAUAAAGUACCAGUGUCCCUUCUUCAAUAUCAUACAUCACCUUUUCAUGCCUUUAAGGUGGACCAUAGCACUGUUCAGUGGUUCCUCAUAGGUAAUUGUCUAGUUGUGAGGAUCUCAAUAGCAUUGUUGUUGGAGUGAAUUCAAUACAAAUAGCUAAUGAUUAUAUUGGAAUAUUGAGGGAAUGUCUGAUGAUACCUUUUUACUUUGUUACCAGUAGAGGAACAAUGCAUGGGAGGAAAGAGGGAGAAGGGUGAAUGGGGAUGGUGUGAGGGAGAAGGAAAAAUGAAAGAGAAUGCACCAUUCAAUAUACAUGUCCUCCACCUCCUUUCUACCAUCCUUAGUCAUCCCUCAUUGCUCCCAUAUCUUUCAUCUCUAUAUCUAUACCUUUUUACUUUUAGAAAAACAUCAUAUAUAAUAGCUUGGUGCCAAAAAAGCGUUCUUUUGUGUUUUCGGUGGCUC
rnacentral:lncRNA from 1 species